rnacentral:lncRNA from 1 species
UUUUAAGGAUGUAAAGAACAUUAAACAAUGAAGAGAUAGUUUCUCAGAGUCUUCUAGUUUUCUAUGUCGGCUACAGCCAAGAUAACCUAUUACUAAGGCCUACUCCAAUAUCUAGAAGAUGGCAGAUAUUCAGUAAGUUUAUUCACUUAACAGAUCUGUUUCUCUGUGGGAUCAACAUUUUCUCUCUGUGUGUCAGAAAGAAUGUCUUGUACCGUCCUUG